rnacentral:rRNA from 1 species
UGUCUCUCGGGUGCUUCGAAACCCCGUAAAAAAGAGUGGGGGGGGAGUUUUUUCUUUUUAUAAAAAGGGGAUCCCCUAGUAACGGCGAGUGAAGAGGGAAGAGCUCAAAUUGAAASCUKKUACKUCGGUAUCCGCGUUGUAACCUCGAGACACGUUUUCCKUGCGGCGCUAUGGACAAGUUCCUUGGAACAGGACAUCGUAGAGGGUGAAAAUCCCGUACUUGCCAYGGAUGUACCGUGCUUUGCGAUACGUGCUCUAAGAGUCGAGUUGUUUGGGAUUGCAGCUCAAAAUGGGUGGUAGACUCCAUCUAAAGCUAAAUAUCGGGGAGAGACCGAUAGCGAACAAGUACCGUGAGGGAAAGAUGAAAAGCACUUUGGAAAGAGAGUUAAAAGUACGUGAAAUUGUCGAAAGGGAAGCGCUUGAAGUCMGCCAUGCCGCUCARGACUCAGCCUGGCUUUUGCUUGGUGUAUUUCCKGGGUAGCAAGUCAGCAUUGGUUUGGAUCGUCGGAGAAGCAUAGUCGGAAUGUGGCGCCCUCGGGCGUGUUAUAGCCUUCUWUUGGAUACSACUAUAUAGAYCWAGGAMCSCMRCRMGCCUUAUGGCGGGUCUUCGGACACCUUCGCGCUUAGGAGCGGGGCCGUUUUUUUGUUGGCGGUUUUGCCCCCCCCCCUAAAAGGGUUUCCCCCAAACGAACUAGGCCUCAGGG